rnacentral:lncRNA from 1 species
UGAUAAUUGUGUCCAUGAGUUCAUGCUUCUUUUUGUCUGUUUGUUUUGUUUUUGUUUUUGUUAUUUGUUUUGAGACGGAGUCUCACUCUGUCUCCAGGCUGGAGUGCAGUGGCACUAUCUCAGCUUACUGCAACCUCUGCCUUCUGGGUUCAAACGAUUCUCCUGCCUCAGCCUCCCGAGUUCAUGCUUCUGCAAUCAUUCACUUCCCUGCCAAGAAGAAUGAUUUUCCAACCACUACUAACCAGCAAAUGCAGCAUGUUUCUGUGGCCAUAGGUCAAGCUGGAAAACAUUUUUCCAUAAAACCAUGUGCAAUUUCAUGCCAUAGGUGAAAGAAUAGCCCAAAUCCACAAGGUACUGUUAUGUCCUACAAAUUCUUUCACUCAGUCAUUAUUGAUGUGAUUUACAAUUAAUACGUGAUUGUUUUACGUUACAUUAUAUCGUAACACUGUAUUACAUUAUACCAUGCAAAGCCCAAUUAAUGUAUUCUUUUUUAUAUGCAUUGUCAGCAGAAUCUACUAAAGCCUUGAGUGUAUAUGAUGUGUGUUGUGGGCUGAAUUUUGUCCCUCCAAAAUUUUUAUGUUGAAGCCCUAAUUUCUGGAACCUCCGAAUAUGACUGUAUUUAGAGAUAAGACCUUUAAAGAGGCAAUUCAAUUAAAAAUAAGACCAUUAGGUUGAACCCUAAUCUAUUCUGACUGGUGUCCUUAUAUUAAGAGGGAAUUUGGAUGUACAAACAGAACCAAGGAGGUGCAGAACCAGAAGAAAGAUCAUGUGAGAACACCGCUCUAAGUAUCUGCAAGCCAUGGAGAGAGACUUCAAAAGAAACUGAACUCUGACAACACCUCUAUCUCGCUCUUCUAGCC